GGCAGAAGUCAGUGUGGAACCUUCGGAUGCAUAUAAGCGUAUUCUGCAUCAUUCAAGUUUAUGAAAAGAAAGACCAAACAACCAAAAAAGCCCCAGUGAAAAAAAAUCACUGCCUUUACUCCUGAUUUUAUGAAGAAAAACUGACCUGAAGUAGACUUAGAACUUCACUGCUUCCAUGAAGACAGAAAAGAAGUCCCACAAGGAUUUUCUGAGCGCAACCAUGACCAGCGCACUCUGCAGAAAAUACAAAGGAGCCCAAUGUACCCGGAACGCUUCACGCCUGGAAGGUGACACGCAUACAGAGUGGAGAGCGAGCCUACAGAAAAGUUGAUGACUCAGUUUGUAUCUGGCACGCAUACCAAACCACAGAGUUUUCUCCAGUCAUUUCUGUAGCAAGCUUAAUAAAUAGUUCAAAUGAUACAGCUUUCCUAGAAAGAUAGACUGUCCUGAUUUUGAGUGAUGAGACACAAAAUUGUUCUUGUACAUUUUUUUUUACCGAGAAAUUUCACACUAAGGGUGUUUAGCUGCUUUGAACAUGGCGGCUCACUGAACACAACCUUACAUUUUCUUCCCAAGCAAUCUUGUCCCCCUCUGGGACUGGUGUUGUCACAUCCACUGUGAGCACCUCCUCUGAUUUUUCUAACUUCUGUGUUCAGAAUUCUGAACAAUAAUUUAUUUCAUUCAUACUCCUAAUAGUAAGCCAGGAAUCAUAUACAUAUAAAAUAUUUUAAUAGUUUAUUUUGAUUUCUGGAUUGUUUUAUUAUGAUUCAAUUAAACCCAAGUCAUGAUUAUGCUCAUGGAUAUUUGAAUAUAGCAUUAUGUGCAAAACGGCAAUCACAUUCAAAUAGCUGGAAUACAUGAAUUUUGACUGCGUAAUCACAACCAAAGUAAAUAAAU